rnacentral:lncRNA from 1 species
CCAGGGUCAUUUAUAUUUUAAUCUACCCACAUUUUAUGGUCUUGUUACAGAAAAGAAACCGCUGGCUGCAGUUCAGAGGUUUUCUGUGGAAGCCCUCUCAGCAAUGCUAUGCACCACGGUCUCAACAAUUGAUGACACAAGGAAUAUUUUCAGAAGCAAAUCCAGAGUUUGACCGGCAAGUCUCUGACACAAGCAGCGUACCCCAUGUGGCUGAAAGGCAGGGCUUGUCAAGGGAUUUGCUGGCAUCAGAAUGCCACCAACCCUGCAGAGUGUGCCUGGACAAGCAGGAUGCCUUUUGAGACCUCAUUUAAUUUUGUCUCCAUGCUGUAAGUUCACUCUUCUGUUUUGACCUCCUUGUUGAAUUCCCUCUCUCUCCCUUCAGCAAUGAUUCCCAACAUUUGUUUAACACUGAGGUGCCUCAUUCUCCUGGAUAAAGAACCAUUAAGAAUGUCAAAUAUGUACACAGUGAGAAAGAAAAUCAAUCUCCAUGGGAAUGCAAUGUCUGUAUGUACUACCUUCAAUGUGUAUUCAGACUGGUGAAGGACAUGGCCCUGGAUUUUCCAUCCCAUCCUCCAAGGCCACCUAAGGACUACCUGAAGCAGUCCUUGAAGACUAGGACUCUUUUUGGAAGGUCAGCUGGUCUUGUAUGUGGGUAAAAACAUGGUAUGGAAGCAUUUCAAUUAUUUAUUUAAACGAUGCAAUUUAAAAGAAGUACCAAACCUGUGUGUCUGCUUUUGAAAUUUCACUUUGGAGGAAAGAACACUGGCAGAUGACAUCCAAACUGAGCUCAGCUUUUCAGCAAAUGUUUCUCUCUUUGUUUGUCAUGUGUCAAACAACAAACCACAUCUCUGAGAAUUACUCCAAUUCAGAGAAAUCCCAAAUGGACUUUUCAGGUAGCCCCAGUGAAUAUGUUGGUUAGCCUGUACUUCCCAUAGGACUCAGUCUUUCCUCCAGAUCAGUUUUUAUACCGCUGCUCUUUUCUUCUGCUUAUUUCUCUCAGUCUCUCCCUUGUUGCAAAGAAGUGGUUGCUAGUUCUUUCAGGUCUUUCCUUAGAGUUAUUUCUAGCUCUACAGGUAAUGUUUUGCAGACUGGCCCAGAUUCUUCAGCAUUUUUCUGAAUGUGUAUCUGUUUAGGAAGCUUUUUUUUUUUUUUUUUUUUUCCUAUUUCCUUGCCAAAGGAUUUUCUUCUUAAAGUUCCAUUGUUUUCUAACACACUGCUCCAGAGAUCUUUCUACUUGCACCAGGGCUUUCUUUUGAGCAUCGUCUUGCUCAUUCAGGAGCUUUUUCUGAGCUAUCUGGA